CCCUUAGAUGUCCUGGGCCGCACGCGUGCUACACUGACGCAUACAGCGAGCACUUUCCAGUUCCGAGAGGCUACUGGUAAUCAUCAAUAUGCGUCGUGAUGGGGAUAGAUCUUUGGAAUUCUGGAUCUUGAACGAGGAAUGCCUAGUAAUCGCAGGUCAUUAGCCUACGAUGAUUAAGUCCCUGCCCUUUGUACACACCGCCCGUCGCUACUACCGAUUUCGAGUGGUCAGGUGAAUCUUUCGGACUGUGGGCGCCCUUGAGGUGUUCGCGGAAAGUCAGGUAAAUCUUAUCACUUAGAGGAAGUAAAAGUCGUAACA
rnacentral:rRNA from 1 species